GACAUUGGCCUAAAGAGAAAAAGA
rnacentral:miRNA from 1 species